UAAAUUCUAUAGCAUUUCUUUGACAGCCUGUGACGCAAGCCCUCCAGCAAGGUGCAGACCGGAGUCUGUGCCUCGUUCCCUGGGGCGAUAGCUACUGCUGGAGGGUUUUGCAUUAUCCGUAUCUGGAUAACACGUCCCCCAGCUAUACC
rnacentral:snoRNA from 18 species